GGAACGAACUCUGGUAUUGAUUGGUGCUUGCAUCAUGAUUUACAUUUGAGUGAGUGGCGAACUGGUGAGUAACACGUGGGAAACCUGCCCAGAAGCGGGGGAUAACACCUGGAAACAGAUGCUAAUACCGCAUAACAACUUGGACCGCAUGGUCCGAGCUUGAAAGAUGGCUUCGGCUAUCACUUUUGGAUGGUCCCGCGGCGUAUUAGCUAGAUGGUGGGGUAACGGCUCACCAUGGCAAUGAUACGUAGCCGACCUGAGAGGGUAAUCGGCCACAUUGGGACUGAGACACGGCCCAAACUCCUACGGGAGGCAGCAGUAGGGAAUCUUCCACAAUGGACGAAAGUCUGAUGGAGCAACGCCGCGUGAGUGAAGAAGGGUUUCGGCUCGUAAAACUCUGUUGUUAAAGAAGAACAUAUCUGAGAGUAACUGUUCAGGUAUUGACGGUAUUUAACCAGAAAGCCACGGCUAACUACGUGCCAGCAGCCGCGGUAAUACGUAGGUGGCAAGCGUUGUCCGGAUUUAUUGGGCGUAAAGCGAGCGCAGGCGGUUUUUUAAGUCUGAUGUGAAAGCCUUUCGGCUCAACCGAAGAAGUGCAUCGGAAACUGGGAAACUUGAGUGCAGAAGAGGACAGUGGAACUCCAUGUGUAGCGGUGAAAUGCGUAGAUAUAUGGAAGAACACCAGUGGCGAAGGCGGCUGUCUGGUCUGUAACUGACGCUGAGGCUCGAAAGUAUGGGUAGCAAACAGGAUUAGAUACCCUGGUAGUCCAUACCGUAAACGAUGAAUGCUAAGUGUUGGAGGGUUUCCGCCCUUCAGUGCUGCAGCUAACGCAUUAAGCAUUCCGCCUGGGGAGUACGGCCGCAAGGCUGAAACUCAAAGGAAUUGACGGGGGCCCGCACAAGCGGUGGAGCAUGUGGUUUAAUUCGAAGCUACGCGAAGAACCUUACCAGGUCUUGACAUACUAUGCAAAUCUAAGAGAUUAGACGUUCCCUUCGGGGACAUGGAUACAGGUGGUGCAUGGUUGUCGUCAGCUCGUGUCGUGAGAUGUUGGGUUAAGUCCCGCAACGAGCGCAACCCUUAUUAUCAGUUGCCAGCAUUAAGUUGGGCACUCUGGUGAGACUGCCGGUGACAAACCGGAGGAAGGUGGGGAUGACGUCAAAUCAUCAUGCCCCUUAUGACCUGGGCUACACACGUGCUACAAUGGAUGGUACAACGAGUUGCGAACUCGCGAGAGUAAGCUAAUCUCUUAAAGCCAUUCUCAGUUCGGAUUGUAGGCUGCAACUCGCCUACAUGAAGUCGGAAUCGCUAGUAAUCGCGGAUCAGCAUGCCGCGGUGAAUACGUUCCCGGGCCUUGUACACACCGCCCGUCACACCAUGAGAGUUUGUAACACCCAAAGUCGGUGGGGUAAG
rnacentral:rRNA from 1 species